rfam:Bacillus enclensis strain SGD-1123 genomic scaffold Scaffold2, whole genome shotgun sequence.
ACAUAAAAAGCCCUGCAGAUAUUUCUGCAGGGUCCUUCUAUAUCCAUUUCUGGAAAGAAGGCAAAGGGAGAGGAGAAACCGGAGGAAGAACUUAUGGGGAAACGUAAGUCUUCUCCGCGG